AUUAUAAUAUAAACAAACAGAUGUGCAGUAAAUCCUAUACUUAAACAUCAUAGACCUGCAUAUGUAUGUACAUAUGCACGUAUCUAUGGAUAAAUAUAUUUUAGCGGGUAAAUAUGUGCAUUUAAUACGAGUGCCGGGUGGAGGCGGAGGGGCGUGGCGAUGGGAGUGGGGCGUCUUUCGGGGGGUCGAGCGAAAAAAACACAAAAUAUAAUACUGGGCCAGAAGCUGUCUCGCUUGCACCCGCACCGCUAAACGGGCUGGCCUUGCGCAACGCGCUCGCUUGCUCAUACACACAGGCACAGUGCUCUUUAAUCUCCAGAGUUUACGAAGAGAGUGAUAAGGAGAGUGAGAGGGGAGAACACUCUCGAGCGGUCGCAAACGGAAAGGCCCCGCUUCGCAACGCGUCGUUUUGUUUCGUUUCAUUUCGUUUCGUUUGCAGCCACAACAAGUUUUUCAGCAGAAGAGCACGCGUGCAAGCGAGACGGGCAUACCAAAAAAUAAUGCCAACGCACACACACUCACAAAUAUCUAACCGUUAACCCAUUAAGGUCUCUGCGGGCUGCCCUCAAAAUAAAAAUAAAAGAAAAGCAGAAACUGCCAAGAUUUCAAUAGAUAAAAGAGAUCGCCACCACCGAUAAGGUUCUUCGGGGGAUCAGCGAUCUGAGGUUCUUCCAAAACUUUCAUUAUCUGCUACUAUUUUUAGCAAUGGGUUAAUGUCAUACCCUAUUAGUCAUCUAAACGAGACCUAAGAAUGUAUUGUUAUGAUCGUUUUCUGGAUAAACACAGUAUUUCAUGUGAAAGUACAAUAAUACUUGGGUUAAAUUACAAUAUGUUUGUAUUUCUUACAUUGUUUUAUAUUUUACUAUGCAGAGAAUUUUUUUCUUCAAAAUCCACGAAUCAGUGUAAAAUCUUAAGUUAUUUCUAAUCAUUGAAAAUAUUUUAUUCAAUUGUACGUCUGCAGUUAUGUAUGUUGAGUUGGUUUUGGAGGGAAAUCCAUUAAAAUGUGUGUCAUUGUGUGCGUGCCACGUGGUAAUCGCUUACUGUGUUGGCUAUUGGGAUGAACCACCCUCCUACGAACAUAAUUGCAAUUUUUUGUAGAACGCUAUCUAAUCCCAUUUUGUUUGGUAUUGUAAUUUUUUACCCAAUUAAGAAAUUCAUCAAACCGAAAAAAUGUGUUUAUUUUAUAACAAGCAUUAUAACGCAACUUUACACGACUUGCUUAUCUGGCUAUGUCCCUCUCUUUCCCAUCAUCGCUCUGUCUCACUCGUUGCUUUUCGCACGCUACUCUGUUGCUGUUUUCAUUUUUUUCCCAUUUUUUUUUUUGUUAAUUCAUUAUUGAGGCCAAUUGAAUUUGUGUGAAGCAAAGUGUGCGAGUGUGUGUGUAUCUGACAGUGUGUGCGUGCGUGUGUGUGUGUCUAGCAGCGUGCUUGAAUGAGUGACGCAGCGACGGAGAGACAAAAAGACGGACGGACUUGCCUGCGCUGCGCUGCUUGGACGAGUACCCGGCAAGAGACUAUGCAACACGUUUAAAUAUGCGCAACCGACGAGCGACGAACAACAACACGAAUGCCGAACGAAAGGGAGAGAGCACAGAAACGAAAAAAAAUAACCGAACACAGACGCACGCACACAUACCAGCGCAAGUAAUUUGGAAGAAGAAGCAGAUGACGGCAAAGAAGACGAAGCGAAAGAGGCGGCAAAAGCAAAAAGCAGCAGCUGAGCAGAGAGUUUGAUGACGUCGCCUGCCAAAGUCUAACUGUUCGUGGCACGCAGACACACACACACACACACAUGUACGGAUGAACUGGCCAUACCCGCUCCCCAUUGCAAACCCCCUCCUCCCACCAUCACUGCAUUUUCUUUGCCUUUUUUCGCGUCUUUUUUAUCGAUGAGUGCUGGCUGUACUAGUGUUGUUCUUGUUGUUUGGGUCACAAGUUCGCGAUGCCGGCUUAUCCGAACUUUCAAAUGACCUACAGUUGAGAUACAAGUUAGAAGUGUAUAUAAUAUAAAAUUAAUUUUCAAUAUUGAUUUUUCUUUAAUAUUUAUGUACAUAUGUAUGUACUUUCAAUAUACAUAUGUAACUUUAGUGGUAGGUAACCGCUGAUAGGUAAUCUAAACAUUAUGCAUUAGCCAAAGUCAUAUGCCCAUUAGUAAUAGGUGUAGGGCACAACUUGCUGCGGGGAAAGCACACACCAAACGGAAAAACACGAGUAAAUAAAAUAAAAUCGGUAGUAGCAUAAAUUUGAAAAUAUUUUCCAUACCUUCACAGUAUAUAGCACCCAAGAUUGCUAUACAUAUGUACUUAGCUACAUAUUCUAACAAAAUACAUAUAUACCUACAUACAUAUGUAUGUAUGUUCCAAGUUGAGAAUAUUGCAAUGUAAAGAGACUAGUUCAGCAUCUGCAGUUAAUUUCUAAAAGGUGUAAGCCAUGUGUAGAGGGAUCGAAGCCGAAGGGAGACCAGUGAGGACAUUGGAGAAGGAGCAAUAUCAAUUACAACGGGGAAGGGCGACCAGGUGGUCCUGCGUCCGGAGUUGCCAACUGUCACCGAAGGACACGGCGAAGAGGAGAGCGAGAGAAGUGGGGACGAUGAGAAGGGAAGCGGAGGAGUAGGAGCAGAAGCAGGAGCAAAGCAAUGCCAACCCAAACACACACACACACACGUGCAGAGGAAAAUGCGGCAAAAAGAAAGUGGAGAAGAGAAGUGGAGUUCGGAAAGUUAGCAAGGGCUGGAAAACGCAGUAGGUGGAAGGAAGAGGGAAAGCCUGGUUAAAAGACAGAGAGAGCGAGAGAGAGAGAGCUACAGCAGCUGCAGCAGGCGAAUGAAAGUGCAUAAAAGGCAGCCAACUAAACUGUGCAUCGGUAUUGAUAUUUAUGUGUAUGUAUUUACAAUACAUAUGCAUAUACAUAUACAUACAUAUAUAUGUAUGCAUGUGCCUUUGUGUGCAAACUUGGUAAGCACUUUUCAUCUUCUUUUUUGAGACUCUUUUGUAUGCUCGUGAAUUGCAACUGCAACUGCAGCUAAACUACCAGGAAUCUAGCGAGUGAAUCCCAAAAUGAUAAGCAAAAGAUGCGGAUACUGAUAAUGAAAGCGGCAAGCAGAACGGGCUAAAACAACACAAAAACAACCGCAAAAACUUGAUGGUGUAAAGUUGCGUUAAAGCCACAUAGGCUUAACCCACUGUUUACCCGAACGAAUUUGGCGAUAAACAUUUAAAAAAUAUACAAACGUGUAAAUUGAUAUUUAACUGGAAAUUGCAAUAGUACCGGCUACUUGAACUGUUUGUAAAAUUCCUUUGAAACAAAGCUUUAGUUAAGCUUAGGAAACACCUGUUCCGCCUGGUACUACCCUUAUUUUCUACAGGUGAAAUUCGUUGUGGCAAUGCCCUAGACUUAAAUGGAAUAUCCCCCAAUAGGUAAGCAUAAUAGUUUAACAUCCGCUUAACCAUCUAACCCCAAUUCGUGUUUCAAAAUCCGAAAUCAUAAAAAUACACACAAAUUUCUAUGCAUAUUCUGGUAUAAGUUUCAAGCGCAUUUAAAGUGUAUCUUCCAAAAAGAUAACCGAAGAGAAAUAACGCCAAGCAUUUCAACUCGAAUGUUUGUUUUCCAUCUAAAAAGUACUCACUUAGAGCGUUUGGUAAUUGACACACAGAGGGUUAAAGGUGGCAAUGGGGCGGUGGGUGUUGAAAGGAGUGGGUAAAAUGCGGAUGGGUGGGGGGAUGUGGGCAAACGCUCACAUUAACACCGGCACACCAACACUCAGUAACGCUCUCAGGUGCUGCGGGCGCAUUAGCCGAAAGCAGAAAGCAAAGUGCAGCGGAGAGUGAGAAGAGGAGUGAAAA
rnacentral:sRNA from 1 species